rnacentral:rRNA from 1 species
UAACGAAUCUUCCGCAAUGCGCGAAAGCGUGACGGAGCAAUGCCGCGUGCGGGAUGAAGGCCCUCGGGUUGUAAACCGCUGUCAGGGUACAGGAACACAAUGACCAUACCCAAAGGAAGGACCGGCUAACUUCGUGCCAGCAGCCGCGGUAAUACGAAGGGUCCAAGCGUUAAUCGGAAUCACUGGGCUUAAAGGGUGCGUAGGCGGGCUCGCAAGUGUCUUGUGAAAUCCCACGGCUCAACCGUGGAACUGCUUGGCAUACUGCGAGCCUUGAGGUCGGCAGAGGUCGCCGGAACUCUAGGUGUAGCGGCGAAAUGCGUAGAUAUCUAGAGGAACGCCAAAGGCGAAGGCAGGUGGCUGGGCCGAAUCUGACGCUGAGGCACGAAAGCGUGGGUAGCGAACGGGAUUAGAUACCCCCGUAGUC